GGAGUCGGCCCGACAGUCGCUCUGGUGUUAACUGAAUAACUCUCUUGAGUGUUGUUUGGUGCAUCGGGGAGGAAAGUCCGGGCUCCAUAGGGCAGAGUGCCAGGUAACGCCUGGGAGGCGCGAGCCUACGGAAAGUGCAACAGAGAGUAGACCGCCUAAGCAUUCGCAAGAGUGCCGGUAAGGGUGAAAGGGUGCGGUAAGAGCGCACCGCGCAACUGGUAACAGGCUGCGGCAUGGUAAACCCCACUCGGAGCAAGACCAAAUAGGAAUCCAUUGGUGCGGCCCGCAUCGGAUUCGGGUAGGUUGCUUGAGGCUAACGGUGACGUUAGUCCCAGAUGAAUGACUGUCCACGACAGAACCCGGCUUACAGGCUGACUCCGUUU
rnacentral:RNase_P_RNA from 1 species